rnacentral:rRNA from 1 species
AUUGAACGCUGGCGGCAGGCCUAACACAUGCAAGUCGAACGAGGGGGGGAGGGGUGGUAAAUUCCGGGGAACUGCCCGGAUGGGGGGGAAAACCUAUGGAAAAGGGAGCUAAUACCGCAUACCUCCGGAUUUCCCAGGAGGGGAUUAGCUAGUUGGUGGGGUAACGUCUCACAAAGGCGACGACCCCUAGCUGGUCUGAGAGGAUGACCAGCCACACUGGAACUGAGACACGGUCCAGACUCCUACGGGAGGCAGCAGUGGGGAAUAUUGCACAAUGGGCGCAAGCCUGAUGCAGCCAUGCCGCGUGUAUGAAGAAGGCCUUCGGGUUGUAAAGUACUUUCAGCGGGGAGGCGUUACCCGCAGAAGAAGCACCGGCUAACUCCGUGCCAGCCGCCGCGGUAAUAC